GCAUGCAGGGGCCAUUGUGACAUAUAGCCAUGCCAAUUGCCUAGGUGAAGUUUGUCUCCUCUCUUGCCUAAGCCCUUUCUACAGCGGGGAUUUAGAUGUAUCACCGAAACAAGCCUCCAGGUGAUGUGACUCUUCUUCCAGAGUCCUGCCCACAAGGAGGAUUGUGACAUUUCACUGGACCAGCACCCACUCAGACUCUGCCAAAAGGGGAUUAUUACAUACUGCAGAGCCCAGCACCCAGGUGGUUUGGUAACAUUUGAACCGUGAUUCAGCACACCUGUGGUGCUGUGACUCCCUUAAUGGAACACAAUCUUCAAGUGUGUUUGGGCAUCUUAUACAUGGAACUUGCCCAUUGUGGAGACUGUGACUCCUCUACUUCGACCCAACUCAUAGAAAAUGUUGACUCACAUACACGAAACCAGGACUCAUGUCGGAUGUGAAACUUAUUUCUGAACUUUUCAGAGUGUGAUUGGGACAGGUAACUUUGCCCAGCACAUGAAUAAUUUGACUCUCUUUUCUAGGCCCAGACCAUAGAUUUAAUUGUGCCAUGUUUGGAACAAGCACCUAAGCAAUAUAUAACACUUUCAUGGCUUUGCCUACAAAGAGCACUUUCAUAUAUCACUGGACCCAUCACCGAGGUGAUAGGAAUUAUCUGCAAAAAACCUUCCUAAAAAGAAAAUUAUGUCUUUUACAU
rnacentral:lncRNA from 1 species